rnacentral:lncRNA from 1 species
ACCUCUUAUACGGCGGUGACACCACAAGAAGCGGUACACCGUUCGAGGUCAAUCCACCCAGUGCGAGCUGCAGGCCUGUGGGCGUCGGGCUACCCUGCCGCGUGCAGGAGCUGGCCUUCAUUCGCGCAGGGCCUUGGCACGUUGGGGCGCCACGCGCAGGCCCUAGGCGUGCAAGCCUAUCCACGCAGGCCUACUGCGCGGACAACGUGGGAAGAGUAUACAAUGCUUGCCUAUCAGCGCUUGAUGUGACGCGCGUAAACAAGUCCAGCUUGCGCGUGAGAAGAUGUACGCGCAGUCCUAUCCUUCGCGUUGCGUGCGAUGGGAUGUGUGCAUUGUACUCACGUCUUGCGCCUGCCACGUGUGC